UCGAGUGGGUUUAGACCCACGGCGAACGGGUGAGUAAUAGAUAGGAAUUUUCUUUAAGUUAAGAAUAUCCCACCGAAAGGUGGUGCAAUACUUAAUGUGAUCGCAAGAUUAAAGCGCAAGGCGCUUAAGGUGAAGCCUGUCUCCCAUCAGCUAGUUGGUAAGGUAAUGGCUUACCAAGGCUAUGACGGGUAGCGGUCCCGAGAGGGAGAUCCGCCACACUGGGACUGCGACACGGCCCAG
rnacentral:rRNA from 1 species